CCGGCCGUUGCCUAGGAAGGGCGCGUCGUCUCGCNGCUCGCUCGGCUGCGACGGGGUAGGGGCGCCGCUGCAUUUUUGGUCGCUACUCAGGAGACCACACCUUCCUGAGAACCAGGCCCGAGACCAAAGUAUUACUUUGUAGCUCUCAGAAGCCAGGACUCUGCGAUACUGUUGGCUGUGUGUGGAUCUUCUAUAUUCACAGUGUACCAGUUACUUCUGGUCUACCACUGUUAGAUAACUUCUGCCACACAUCCUAAUAGUACAGUUGCUCUUGGAAAGGAGUCACAGCCGCUGUCUGCCAGGAGUCCCUCGUCCGACUCCUGUGGUUGCCCUUUCCAUCAUGCCAAAGAAUAAAGGCAAAGGAGGCAAAAACAGGCGCAGAGGGAAAAAUGAAAACG